CUUGGCGCAUUUAAAGCACCAGGUUGUCUAGAUUUUUACUCUCUAAUUUUGUUUUAUAUACAGAUUUUCAAGCCCUUGACAAAAUUCCUCCAUGUAACUUAUCUCCGUUACAGAAACCCAGAUCUUGUAACCGCUGGAGUACGUGCGUGUUUUGUGUAACUCCGUCUUCUCUGUUUGAACUAGAAACCUGGAUGUAAUUUGGCUAUGACAACAAAGCUUGUAUGGCCACUAGAUAUUUAAAUAAAAUGCUAAUAAAGUGUUUCUGAUGAUAUUUGUUCUUUUAAUAAAGCCGUGACUGCUCUUA